rnacentral:lncRNA from 1 species
CCGCCGGGAAGAAGGACGUCGAUUGGUGCCGCUGAGUGUCACUUGAGGAAGACCCCGCGGAUAUUGGCAUUUCUCUCGGGCCUGUCAUUCUACAGCGCCCACUAAAAUCAGUCAUCUUCCUGCAAAGGCAUGAGGAGGAAAAGAGAGGCAGUAACUGAGCGAUAAUAUGCUGUAUGAGCCUCCUGCUCUGCUGCCCAUUACCUGCGUCACCUCCACAAGCUACUGAACCUCAAGGAA